rnacentral:misc_RNA from 1 species
GAACAAGCUUAUGAGCCCUCAACCUGUCAGCCAAACUAGUAUCAUCACCUCUCCCAAUGCCAUAACCUGUCUUUCUCCUCCUAGAAGACUUCAAAUGAUACCACCACCACACCCCAAAUCCCAACAACAAAGAUGCUGCAGCACCAAAGAUCCCAGCAGCAAUUAUAAUAGCAAGAUUCUUCUUGCUUAAGCCACCACACUUGGAUCCUAAAGGCUUCC